rnacentral:lncRNA from 1 species
CCCUGCAGUCUUCUUUAAAUACCAAAACUGCCCUGGGAAGGAUAAGACAUCAGUUUCUUCAUACUUCAGAGCAAAUGGGAUUGAUUCCCAGGACCUCCUUUCUGUGGACUGGGUUUUUGCCUCCUCACCAAGAGACUGGGCUCCCUGGGCGAGCAGAGGCUGCUGGGUUCAGUAUCUGAACACUUUUGCUAAAGGUCUCUGGAAAGCUCCCUGUGUUAAUUCUCGAUGAGACUACGUCUGUGCCGGCCGCUUCCUGAGCCUCCUUCCAUGUGCAUAGGCCUGCUGCAUGCUGGAGACCUGCGGCACAGCUGCCAAGUGCCCCGUGUGGUUCUGUGAUCUUGGGACAGUCACUUCCUCUCUGUGGUUGUCAGUCUUCUCAUCCCUAAGGUGGAGCCCAUUUCCCCUCCUGCUGAGCGUGGGCCACACUUAGCGACUGGCUUUCAAUGAAGAGAAUGUAACAGAGGUGAAAGUGUGUGACAUUCGAGGAAAGGCCAUAAAAGACAUUGGUGCUUCAGCUUUGCUCUCGCGGCUGUCUGACUCUGGGGGAAGCCAGCCACCACGUCAUGAGGACACCCAAACAGCCUACGGAGAGGCCCACGUAGGGAGGAGCUGAGGCCCCCUGCCAGCAAGCAGCCCUAGCCCGCCAGCUGUGUGAGUGAGCGAGCCUUUUUGGAAGUGCAUCCUCCUGUCCCAGUCCAGCCCUCAGAUGGCUGCAGCCCUGCUAGCAUCUUGACUGCCGCCUCAUGAGGGACCUCAAGCCAGAACCAACAGCCACGUGGUGCCAGAAUUCCUCAUCUGCAGCAGCCGUGUGAGAUCAUAACUGUUUAUUGCCUUUUUAAGCCACUGAGUUUUGGGGUCGUUUGUUACUCAGCAGUAGAUGAUUAAUAUGCUGUCAUGCAGCUGUCUUGGAACCAGGAGGGGCAAGACUGAGGGCAGAAGCCACUGUGGUGAAACUGGCGGAGACAUGGAAUCUGGAUUCCUGGUGAUGUGAGCUACACUCAAGAAGCCCUUCCUUCUCUGGCUGUCAAGUCUGG